AACUGGGGAUAAUWCCGGGUAACGCAUAUAUGCUGGAAUGCUUUWUGCGUAAAAUGGAUUCGUCUGCCCAAGGAUGGGUMGCGGCCUAUCAGGUAGUAGUGGGUGUAAUGUACCUACUAGCSUACAACGGGUACGGGUUGUGAGAGCAAGAGCCCGGAGAUGGAUUCUGAGACAUGAAUCCAGGCCSUACGGGGCGCAGCAGGCGSGAAAACUUUACAAUGCGGGAAACCGUGAUAAGGGGRCACCGAGUGCCAGCAUCAUAUGCKGGCUGUCCAGAUGUGUAAAAUACAUCUGUUAGCAAGGGCCGGGCAAGACCGGUGCCAGCCGCCGCGGUAACACCGGCGGCCCGAGUGGUGAUCGUGAUUAUUGGGCCUAAAGCGUUCGUAGCCGGUUUGAUAAGUCACUGGUGAAAUCCGGUAG
rnacentral:rRNA from 1 species